rnacentral:rRNA from 1 species
UACACGACCGUACCGCAAACCGACACUGGUGCGCGAGAUGAGUAUUCUAAGGCGCUUAAGAGAACUCAGGAGAAGGAACUCGGCAAAUUGACACCGUAACUUCGGAAGAAGGUGUGCCUUUAGUAGGUGAACCAUUUACUUGGGGAGCCCAAUGAGGCUGCAAAAAUCGGUGGCUGCAACUGUUUAUUAAAAACACAGCACUCUGCUAAGACGAAAGUCGACGUAUAGGGUGUGACGCCUGCCCGGUGCUGGAAGAUUAAAUGAUGGGGUGCAAGCUCUUGAUUGAAGUCCCAGUAAACGGCGGCCGUAACCAUAACGGUCCUAAGGUAGCGAAAUUCCUUGUCGGGUAAGUUCCGACCUGCACGAAUGGCGUAAUGAUGGCCACACUGUCUCCUCCUGAGACUCAGCGAAGUUGAAAUGUUUGUGAUGAUGCAAUCUCCCCGCGGAAAGACGGAAAGACCCCAUGAACCUUUACUGUAGCUUUGUAUUGGACUUUGAACAGAUCUGUGUAGGAUAGGUGGGAGGCUUUGAAGUGUGGUCGCUAGAUCGCAUGGAGCCAACGUUGAAAUACCACCCUGGUGUGUUUGAGGUUCUAACCUAGGUCCAUUAUCUGGAUCGGGGACAGUGCAUGGUAGGCAGUUUGACUGGGGCGGUCUCCUCCCAAAGUGUAACGGAGGAGUUCGAAGGUACGCUAGGUACGGUCGGACAUCGUGCUAAUAGUGCAAUGGCAUAAGCGUGCUUAACUGCGAGACUGACAAGUCGAGCAGAUGCGAAAGCAGGACAUAGUGAUCCGGUGGUUCUGUAUGGAAGGGCCAUCGCUCAACGGAUAAAAGGUACUCCGGGGAUAACAGGCUGAUACCGCCCAAGAGUUCAUAUCGACGGCGGUGUUUGGCACCUCGAUGUCGGCUCAUCUCAUCCUGGGGCUGUAGCCGGUCCCAAGGGUAUGGCUGUUCGCCAUUUAAAGAGGUACGUGAGCUGGGUUUAAAACGUCGUGAGACAGUUUGGUCCCUAUCUUCCGUGGGCGCUGCAGAUUUGAGGAAGCCUGCUCCUAGUACGAGAGGACCGGAGUGGACGAACCUCUGGUGUAUCGGUUGUCACGCCAGUGGCAUUGCCGAGUAGCUAAGUUCGGAAGAGAUAACCGCUGAAAGCAUCUAAGCGGGAAACUCGUUUCAAGAUUAGAUCUGCCGGGGCCUUGAGCCCCCUAAAGAGUCGUUCAAGACCAGGACGUUGAUAGGUCAGGUGUGGAAGC